rnacentral:rRNA from 1 species
AUUGAACGCUGGCGGCAGGCUUAACACAUGCAAGUCGAGCGGAGAGAAGUAGCUUGCUACUGAUCUUAGCGGCGGACGGGUGAGUAAUGCUUAGGAAUCUGCCUAUUAGUGGGGGACAACAUUUCGAAAGGAAUGCUAAUACCGCAUACGUCCUACGGGAGAAAGCAGGGGAUCUUCGGACCUUGCGCUAAUAGAUGAGCCUAAGUCGGAUUAGCUAGUUGGUGGGGUAAAGGCCUACCAAGGCGACGAUCUGUAGCGGGUCUGAGAGGAUGAUCAGCCACAAUGGGACUGGGACACGGCCCAGACUCCUACGGGAGGCAGCAGUGGGGAAUAUUGGACAAUGGGCGGAAGCCUGAUCCAGCCAUGCCGCGUGUGUGAAGAAGGCCUUAUGGUUGUAAAGCACUUUAAGCGAGGAGGAGGCUACUUUAGUUAAUACCUAGAGAUAGUGGACGUUACUCGCAGAAUAAGCACCGGCUAACUCUGUGCCAGCCGCCGCCGUAACAC